AUCGCUUCUCGGCCUUUUGGCUAAGAUCAAGUGUAGUAUCUGUUCUUAUCAGUUCUCGGUGGGAGUCGUGCGGUGUAUGGGGCACCACUGAGAUUUGUUUUUUUUAGCCCCAACACCUUUUAGCACUUUUAAACCCAAAAGCCUUUUCAAAGGCUAAAGCACUUACAGAGCCCUUUUUAGGGCUCUGCACCCC
ensembl:snRNA U2 U2 spliceosomal RNA